AGCAGAUUUGCUCUCUAUAAACGGCCAAAGGCUAAUGGAGUCAAACCCAGCACGGUCCACGUGAUCUCCACACCACAAGCGUCCAAGGUUGUUUUUGAAGCCUGCAUUAUCGAUGUAAGCUGCCGAUUGCUCUGUUCCUCCUGACCUCCCUGACCCGCAGUCCACCUUCUGCAUAUUCCGGUGACCUGGUGCCCAGUCCCGUCAGUUUCUCCCUGACCCUUGCUAAACCAUGCGUUGGCCUCCAUGGGUCAUAAUGUUUUCCCUCUUCCAAUCUGACCGUCGCUUGUACUUUCCCACUGAUACAGUGUACUUUGGAGUCCAGUGUCACUUGAAGGUGACCAUACUCUCCAGUUCAUUCUACUUGUGAAUAAAUAGGCUUUUUUAAUCUGAUCUCAAGA